CUCGUUCAACGUUUAUAAUCAUCAUAUUAAGCAUGGACAAUACAUAAUAGAGUCACAACAAUCAUAGUAUAAGAUUUUCGGGAAUGCUUGACACCUACAUAUAGAUACUCGUCACAAAACCUAUACGUCAUACUCAACACUUAACACAUAGCAAAUAAGACAACAACUCAUAUUCCCUCAAGCUAAGGUUUGACCAAACACUUACAUCAACGUCACGAACACAAUCAAGCCUCAACUACUACUUUACCUCUCGAUUCCGCUUCCAUUUCACUUGUAUCUAGUCACAUUUUACUUAACAAUAUCAAUAAAUGCUAAAUAAACCAACUCUAAUGCAUGAAAAUAGGGGUCCUGAUGAUUUUUUUCCAAAAAUUCAACAAUCUCCCCUGCGCCUGCUUGGUCAAAAUCCUAAGUUUGAACCAAAACCCAAUCACC
rnacentral:lncRNA from 1 species